UACGUAGGGUGCAAGCGUUGUCCGGAAUUAUUGGGCGUAAAGAGCUCGUAGGCGGUUUGUCGCGUCUGCUGUGAAAGAUCGGGGCUCAACCCCGGAACUGCAGUGGGUACGGGCAGACUAGAGUGCGGUAGAGGAGACUGGAAUUCCUGGUGUAGCGGUGGAAUGCGCAGAUAUCAGGAGGAACACCAGUGGCGAAGGCGGGUCUCUGGGCCGCAACUGACGCUGAGUCAUGAUGAAUAACGCUUGCCCCUC
rnacentral:rRNA from 1 species